ensembl:lncRNA
CAUGAAAUGGUGGGGGAAGAUGAGAGAUCUGGGACCUAAUUUGAGUAGAUCUUCUACAGCUAUUCAGAUGUCACUGCAGACGUUGGAGACUGAAACCAAGGGCUUUAAAGGUCAUGGGAUUCAUUUGCAUUCAAUUGGACUAAGCAGAAGCUCAUCAUAAAUUUGUGCAGCAAGAGAGCAGUGCAUGACUGGACAUGCAGCCCCGCAUUUUGCACAUAAAAGAAAAAACUCUGCAGAGGUAGUGGUUUCCAUCACCAAUUCAACGUCUGUUUUUCUCUCAGGUACAUCUAAAAUGUAGAUAAGCUCAACACUAGAUACUUACUAUGAAGAUACUUACUAUGAAGAUGAAGAGGUAUCUGGUGUUGCAUGUCCCCAGGCCCAGAUCAGAAAUAAUAUAAAUAAAAAAUUUUACUAGUUUCCUGACUUUCCAAUAAUAUUUAAAAAUUCAUAAGUUUAUGAAGAAAAAUCUAUCAGCAGUUCUAUGAAUAGUUGGUGAAAUGAACCCAAUGUAACAGAUGACAAAAUAGACUCCUAUUACAGAUGUAAGGCUACCAAAUGGUUGAGUAAACUGACUUGGACAUCUGUGUUUGUAGAGUGCAGGGUCAAAGAUGGAUCUGAUGAUGACACUUCAGAAUUGAAAUUAAAAUAUUAAAAUAGGCAUUUGUUAUUAAUUCUAAUGUGUACAAAAGGAACUGACUCCAAUAAACUGUUACGCUAUUGUUUGUCAUCUACCACAAUGUCAAGAAUGUGUCUGGGACACAGACCAAAAAGUCAGAGAAGAUGCUUAACUGAGAAAGCUCUGGGACAAAACUGUAUUUUUAAAGUUCAUAAUCUUCUCACAAGACAGAAAAAUGGAUGGACUCCUCAAAUAAUGAAAUAUCUACUUGUUCAGACUGAUUAGUUAAAUUUGAAGGCACUUCAAAAUUACUGGGUUUUUUUGGCCAAUUUUCCAGCAUUUAGCCAAAUAACAGGAUAUCUAUUGAAAAAAAAAAAAACGCUGAUGUUGAGAAUUUAACUAACUUUGCAAACAGAAGAUGAAGACGGUGUUUGUGAUGUGUUAGCAGAAACCAACAUAGCAAAGAAUGCAGUAUGCAGUCAUCAUGUAAUAUGUACUACAUUAAUUUGCCAUCACCAGAAAAUGACCUGCAUAGCUGACACCACUUCUUCGGUUACCAAGAUUUACAAGUUUUAAUAGAGUUCACAGAUAGUAUGUGCCAGAUAAAAGGCCUGGCAAAAUGGGAAUUUUUUGUUAUCCUUGGCUGGAAUAUUGCUCUGUCUAUAAGGCACAGAACUGGGACUGAAGCAAUGGAUUAAUUUUCACCCUCUCUUAUGUUCACCGUAAUAGUUAAAGGGAGACUUUAUACUCUCCUUGGGCUUGUUUUCUCAUUUAUGACAUGAGAAAAAAUAUUCUAAUACUACCAGGACUGACAGGAGGUUAAACCAAUAUUGGUAAAGAAGAUUGAGUUGCAAAAGGUAAAUGCAGUGUAUUACUAUCAUUCCACAAACAGAAAAUCUUCAGAGCUAUGAAAUAUUUUUGCAUACUCCUCUCUCUCACAUCCUGCCAAGCCAUACUUCCUGACAUUGUUAAAUUUCCAGUGUUGAAGAAUACUCCUUCACUCCUCAGUGAGGUGAGCUCAAGGAGCAAGGGCUGGAAGUAGUUUUAUUAUCUUAUAAGAAAAUUUAUGGAAAAUCCUUCUCCUAGAGCUCCAAGGAAUUGUAGAAAAUAAUAUAAUCUUGCUAGCCUGGAUAUUCUACUGAUAUAAAAUAAAUUCUGUUUUUAAUAAUUUAUUUUUAAUGUAGUCAUCUAAGUAUACACACAUUCCUCCCCAGUCAAGAAGUUUCUAAACCUAGGAGAUAAGUCAAAGAAGAAUCAAUCUAUACUUAGUUUGUUUUCUUUCAGAGCUCUUUUGUUGAGCAUUUCCCAUGUUGGUCUAUAUUAAAAAACUGAGCUAGUUGAAGCUAAAAGAUCUCCCAGAGUUCAGGGAGGGGAAAAAAAUAAAUUUUGAGCCAAACAAAUUUGGAAAUCAACAAAUUUAAAAAAUAAGAGAAAAUCCUG